rnacentral:rRNA from 1 species
CGGAGGGCGAGCGUUAUUCGGAAUUAUUGGGCGUAAAGGGCGCGUAGGCGGCCUGGUAAGUCAAAGGUGAAAUCCCUCGGCUCAACCGAGGAAUUGCCUUUGAAACUACCUGGCUUGAGGCCGGGAGGGGUAGCGGAAUUCCCAGUGUAGCGGUGAAAUGCGUAGAUACUGGGAGGAACACCGGUGGCGAAGGCGGCUACCUGGACCGGUUCUGACGCUGAUGCGCGAAAGCGUGGGGAGCAAACAGGAUU